ACGCCAAGCUGAGAGUGACAGCCGAGAACAACAGGAACCUUUUAAAGAUGAACAUUUUGAUCCAAAAAAACUGUUGGGAGGAAACUGAGAAGUUAAAACUGGCAUAAAGGACAUCUAGGCGAAGCUAGAAGCCUUUGCUGAUGCGGGCGUAAUUGGCAGCUGCAAAGGAGACCAAGUUUCCGAAAGACACGUUGAGUACGUUGAGAACGUCUCCACAACCGCUUUCAACCAAAUUAUGACGUACAGCCCAAAAUAUACCGCCAAGUUUAUGAAGCACAUGGCAGCGGCGAUAUGCGGGCGUGAAUAUCUUAAAUCUCAUUCCGUGUGCGGGAUGAAGUCGAAUCGUUCCCGAGACAGUGCUGAAUCAGCUAGGCCUGCGAUCGACCCCAAUGAAAUGGCGGCACUGCAAGCUUUUAUAAACUUCUGCUGCGGUAAGAAGGGAAUCCCGGAGCCCAAAUAUCCACUGUUGUUUUUGGCGUAAAAUACCACCUGGCCAAAUACAUACACGACGUCCGAAGCACGGACGAUGGAACGAAAAAAGGCCGAGAUUAAAAAAAAAAACAAAGCAGGCCGGACUAGACGCACUUCAUGAUGCAGAAGAUGAAGAAUUAACGGAAGUGAACGUCUAGAUUCGGCUACCGAUAAUGAAAUUUGGGUCCUACCACAACCAGAAUCGCUGAUUGAUAAUAAUUUUUGUUUGAUAAAUAAUGCAAAUUAGCAUCGACUGUAUGUAUUUAAAUUGUAUAUAUUUAAAUUCAUGUGGCCUAAAACUUGUGAUACUAAUGAAAAGCUACAGCUUUUGAGAAGCGGCACCAAAUUUUGCACAUACAUUCUU